UACGAAGGGGGCUAGCGUUGCUCGGAAUUACUGGGCGUAAAGGGAGCGUAGGCGGGUUAUCAAGUUGGAGGUGAAAGCCCAGGGCUCAACCUUGGAAUUGCCUUCAAAACUGAUAGCCUAGAGUAUGAUAGAAGUAAGUGGAACUCCGAGUGUAGAGGUGAAAUUCGUAGAUAUUCGGAAGAACACCAGUGGCGAAGGCGCUCUACUGGGCCAUUACUGACGCUGAUGGACGAAAGCUAGGGGAGCGAAAGGG
rnacentral:rRNA from 1 species